rnacentral:rRNA from 1 species
GACGAACGCUGGCGGCGUGCUUAACACAUGCAAGUCGAACGAUGAAGCUGGAGCUUGCUCCGGUGGAUUAGUGGCGAACGGGUGAGUAACACGUGAGCAAUCUGCCCUUGACUCUGGGAUAACUGCGGGAAACUGUAGCUAAUACCGGAUACUUUCACUGAAGGCAUCUUCUGGUGAAGAAAGAAUUUCGGUCAAGGAUGAGCUCGCGGCCUAUCAGCUUGUUGGUGAGGUAACGGCUCACCAAGACGACGACGGGUAGCCGGCCUGAGAGGGUGACCGGCCACACUGGGACUGAGACACGGCCCAGACUCCUACGGGAGGCAGCAGUGGGGAAUAUUGCACAAUGGGCGCAAGCCUGAUGCAGCAACGCCGCGUGAGGGAUGACGGCCUUCGGGUUGUAAACCUCUUUUAGUAGGGAAGAAGCGAAAGUGACGGUACCUGCAGAAAAAGCACCGGCUAACUACGUGCCAGCCGCCGCAGUAA